AUUGAACGCUGGCGGCAUGCUUUACACAUGCAAGUCGAACGGUAACAGGCCGCAAGGUGCUGACGAGUGGCGAACGGGUGAGUAAUGCAUCGGAACGUGCCCAGUCGUGGGGGAUAACGCAGCGAAAGCUGUGCUAAUACCGCAUACGAUCUAUGGAUGAAGGCGGGGGACCGUAAGGCCUCGCGCGAUUGGAGCGGCCGAUGGCAGAUUAGGUAGUUGGUGGGGUAAAGGCUCAAGAAGCCGACGAUCUGUAGCUGGUCUGAGAGGACGCGCAGCCCCACUGGGACUGAGACACGGCCCAGAGUCCUACGGGAGGCAGCAGUGGGGAAUGUUGGACAAUGGGCGCAAGCCUGAUCCAGCAAUGCCGCGUGCAGGAAGAAGGCCUUCGGGUUGUAAACUGCUUUUGUACGGAACGAAAAGGUUUGGGUUAAUACCCUGGGCCGAUGACGGUACCGUAAGAAUAAGCACCGGCUAACUCUGUGCCAGCCGCCGCCGUAACAC
rnacentral:rRNA from 1 species